rnacentral:rRNA from 1 species
UACGUAGGGUGCAAGCGUUAAUCGGAAUUACUGGGCGUAAAGCGUGCGCAGGCGGUUGUGUAAGUCAGAUGUGAAAUCCCCGGGCUCAACCUGGGAAUUGCAUUUGAGACUGCACGGCUAGAGUGUGUCAGAGGGGGGUAGAAUUCCACGUGUAGCAGUGAAAUGCGUAGAGAUGUGGAGGAAUACCGAUGGCGAAGUCAGCCCCCUGGGAUAACACUGACGCUCAUGCACGAAAGCGUGGGGAGCAAACAGG